CGUAAACAUGUCUCUCAUCAUAUACAUCAUAAGUCUGACAAUCAUUGCUGUUCUUCAAUACUAUGAUCCACUUGCAUUUAUGUGGCUUCUUUUUGGCCUUUAAUCUGCUCAGUAUGUUAAUAUGAAACACAUUUUUUGAUAUAUUGUUGACUGCUUAAAUAUUUAAUAAACAUUUUUUAUCUUUAA